rnacentral:lncRNA from 1 species
GCGGAAGUUCAGAGCUGCAGGGUUGGGGGAGUUGGGACCUGCCGGGGGUUUCCUUGUGGUGGGAGGACCAGAUGGCCAGGCUGUUCAAGGGGACAGAGUUAGUGAGGAUAUGCACAGAACUCCAGAUGCCUGAGGCAACAGGGAAAGAAGGAAGAUAUUCACCGAGUAGCAUGGCACGGAAGUCUCACAGUAACUCUGGAGCUACACAGCUCGUCAACACUCCCUCACACUCCACCCCACCCCCUGAAAAGAAGGAAAAAGAACAAAUUGAGAACGUCAAAAUGAGUGUCACGAAGAGGGUUGAGAACCCGAAGAUAGAGUAUGCCUGCUGAUCCAAGAACAACAGACAACUGGCUCAGGCUGUGAUUAAAGUUGGUUGGAAUUCACAGCCGCAGAACAAUGACCACAUUCAUGAACUGAACUUCUGCUUACUCUCCUAUUCCAAAGUUCUUCAUCUUCCUUCCACAUGGACAGCCAGCUGUGCUGAGAGAUUUGUGUGUUAGCACCUGGAAGUGUUGGAUGGACUUGAUUACUGUGUAAUAAAAUCUAACAUGAAUGACUUGAAAGUAUAGUU